rnacentral:rRNA from 1 species
AUUGAACGCUGGCGGCAGGCCUAACACAUGCAAGUCGAGCGAGCGGCGGACGGGUGAGUAACGUCUGGGAAACUGCCUGAUGGCGGGGGAUAACUACUGGAAACGGUAGCUAAUACCGCAUACCAUACGAUGUGCCCAGAUGGGAUUAGCUAGUAGGUGGGGUAACGGCUCACCUGGGCGACGAUCCCUAGCUGGUCUGAGAGGAUGACCAGCCACAUGGGUACUGAGACACGGUCCAGACUCCUACGGGAGGAAGCAGUAGGAAAAAGUGGACAGUGGGCGAAAGCCUGAUGCAGGCAUGCGGCGUGUGUGAAGGAGGCGUAGGGGUGGGAAAGCAGUUUGAGCGGGUAGGCGUUACCCGCAGAAGAAGCACCGGCUAACUCCGUGCCAGCAGCCGCGGUAAUGC